rnacentral:rRNA from 1 species
AGGGGGAGGAGGGGGUGCGGCGGCGGCGGCGGCGGUGGCUCGGGUAUGCUCCCGGGAGGCGCGCGGGGUCGCGGGCCGCCGUCGCGGCGGGGGACCGGGCGAUCGGCGUCGCCUGCGCGGGAGACCGGCGGCCAAGACCCGCCCGCCCUCGCCGCAGCCGCUACCGCGGCUGGGCCUUCUUCGCGCGGAGGAGGCGCCGGCGCCGGCGGCGGCGGCGCCGGGUCACCUUCCAGCCGCUGGAGCACGAGCGGUUCGAGUUCCCGAUGGGCCGCACCGGUCGGUACUAAUCGCUCGGCGUCUUUACCCCCGAAGGAAGUUGAUUUUUCUUCAACGACCAGAUGAAAAUACCUUGAUUUCUCUAACGAAAGACGUUAAUACGACUAGAACUCCGCAAGUGACUUCUCUUUUUCUUUAGAGAUGAACAAUUUGCUGUACCCUUUCCUCGUCUAAAACAGUUUCGUCAAUUCCUUUAUCACCUUUAAAAACUAAGAUACUUCUUGCUCCUGUUAUUAUUCUCGCCCAACCGGGGACGGUUGUUAUCGUCGUCAAACCUGUGACCUCCAGGGCUUCUUCCAAGACUAAACCGGUUACUAUCGUUCGAGCUCCCAUUAGGACGGAGAAGGUACCUAGUGUCGUACCGGUCACGGGGACCCAGAUUAUAACGACGUAACCUCUCACUUGUGACACAACACUUGAGACGUGGACUACUCGGACGAUGAAGUAAAAGUUUCUUCUCCUCUUCAUUACGAGACGUUGAUCCAAGAACGUGAGUGGCAUUAGAAUGAAGGGGUGCCUCCGGUUCUUCAAGUAAUCCACGACUAGUAUCCUGAGCCCUAAGAACACCCGGCUUACCAGAGUUAGACGGAGGACAACUAUACUGGUGACUACUAUCCGUCCUUCCGAGAAGAGCCGAAUUUACAUAUCCACUACUGUUUGGAUUUAGCCUAAAGGAAAGUCGAUGCUUCCUACAAUACGACAAGUUAACGCCAGCUCCGUGGAGUUCAGUUAGACCUCGAAGAGACUUACCAUUAAUACUCUUGUUAAACUCAAGACGACGUUUAUAUCUUUCACUAGAAUUACAACUUCAUACAGUUUGACAGUACCCAUUUCUUCUAUUAGACCUACCCUGUGUUCUAGAAAGGUGCUCAUGUCGUCAAUGAAGAUUUUCUUUCGCUUCGGGCCUGUGGUUACUACAAUUAUUAAGAUAGUCGUCACACCAUGGUUUAUACCUACUUCUUAACGUCGGAUUAAGUCCACCUUUGGACGGUCUAAGAGGUUUAAGUCCCUUACUUCAGUUAUUCAGUCUGCCUCUACUGGUGAACGGUAAUCACUUUUCCCGUGCCCAAGCUUACCCUUCUGGGGUCGACCUCCUGAGGUACCAACUACUCGAACUAUAAAGACUAUUGUUUUAUCUCAACCGAUAUGGACAUCUACUUACAAUAUUUGUACUGGACAGAAGUUGUCACCCUUUCCUAGUAGGUCGACUACUACAGGGGAUAGCGUAUCUAGGAAGUGGGUGUCAUCUGGGUAGCGACCGUAGCCCUUUACUAGUAAGUCGACUCCUCCACGAAGGACCGUAUCUAGGAAGUGGGUUUCAUCUGGGUAACGACCGUAGCCCUUUACUAGUAAAUCGACUCCUCCACGAAGGACCAUAUCUAGGAAGUGGGUUUCAUCUGGUUGACGACCGUAGCCCUUUACUGGUAAAUCGACUCCUCCACGAAGGACCGUAUCUAGGAAGUGAGUUUCAUCUGGGCAGACGUAGUCCUCUCCAAGUCUGACGAACGUUCCUGUUUCUCAUAGUUAGUUUCCAAAACUGCAAUCUACCUCUUCGACGAAAUGGAGGUAGAUUUGCAGAGGUAGCACGGAAUCUCCGAUACAGACGAUUACGACGACUUUGAUGACCAUUAGACGGACUUCACUUAUUCGGUCUCACAUAGGACUUCGGAACGUGUCGCAGCUAUCCUUCGAGAGGAAAAUUAUUGAGACGUCUACGUGAACAGUCUUCAGGUUCUAGACGUUGUUGAUUUCCGGGCCUUUAUACAAGUGGUCAUGAAAGAAAUCUAUGGGGUUGACCGGAUUUCACAAACAGUGUUGGUAAGUAUAAUUUGUUCCUGAGGGGCAGAAGACAAAGUGACCUUAACUGUUUGCCACCGUUAGUACUAGAAGGUUUUCUGUUUCAAUCGUGGUCCCUGCUACUACUAUAGACACCUUUAAGAGGUCGGACGAGGAACCUCAGCUUUCUCCGACGGAAACAUAGAUUCAAACUAGUCAACGGAUACCCCUUUCAUUCAUGUUUACUCGAGGGCCUAGGUUAACCAUUAAGAUCAGCUCUAAAAUCAUUUUUAUAACUACCUAGACGAAUAGGUGAAUCGGUACGUUUCUGACAACACGGUCCACGAUUAGUGCUAAGGUUAAGGCUCGGUGUUUUAUUCUGUCAAAACCGACUUGGUUGUCAGUCACACCCACUGUCCUGUUCACGGAGAAGCAACCAAUGAUUUCAAUGUACGUCGGUCUUACAACGUCCGCGGGCUCGUAAACUUCGCGUACCAAGAAGUCGUUGCCGUGACUCUCUUGGCCUGGUGUUUUAAUUGUACUUCCUAUAACCAAAUAGAGGACUGGGCUACGGAUACUUUCCUGAAUAACGACGACGUGUACGAGUCUUUAAGAGAGUUGGUUGAAGAAAGUAUCUGUCAAAAAAUCUAAGGUUACAAUAAAGACUUGGAAGACACUUAUAUGGAAGUCAAUUCCUUCCUAGUCCACCGGCCACAAGUGGAAGUUUAUGAUAUUAUUCCAGACGUAGUCUAUCCUAAGUAUGAGUCGUCUGAUCACCAUUCUAAGAAAGACUAUUGUAUGUUGUCUUCUCGAACUUGUUUGGUCGUCCAGUACUACUUCGGUCCAGUCGUGCCUCCCGGAAACUUUUAAAGGAUCCAUGUAAUUGUUCUUGUUUUCUUACAUAUCGGGCACGUUGUGCAGACCGAGACCUAACACGAUUCGUACCGUAACGACCCCUCCAUUACCUACAGUAGUAGCUUGCGGACCUUUUUCUUAGUUUAAAUAUGUUUUCCCACCUGGACAAGAAGGAACAACUAAGUUAUUAGGUCACGACAGCGUUAGUCUUUCCACCUCAACCUCUACGGAUAGGAAGAGAAUAGGUUCGUCAGGACGGUGCUUAUGAUAUACGAAGACGUGGAGGACCUUUAAGACGUACCCUCUUAGCUUCUGUUACAGAAUUCCAAAACUUUGAGACCGAACUCUCCUUUUGCGAAAGUCUUAUGUAGUAAGCAGUAGUAUAAUUCCUCGAACUUCGAGAAUUACUUCGUAGUAAACCCUGGAGAGCAGCAGUAAGUCCCUGUCUCUCUCGAGACUUACUGGGAAAUGCCCUAUUACUUCCUUACGAACAUCUACUUAUACCUUCGUUAUGACCAAAGGUAGAAGGUUUAAACUAGACGCACUUUGACGACCUGCUCCUUCCUUCGAGGAGACUCCUAUCCUCGAAACUUCGACAGUGAGGACUUGUACUUAGAUGACCACGACUCGUUCCCCUCCCAAGAGUUAACCUACCCCGCUUCGUAGCUGAACAGAAACUUCUUCACUUACCACUAGAACUCUACCUUCUACAUCGGGGUAGUAGACUUCGCCUUCGAUCGAGACGUACGGUUGGUCUAGAUUGUCGACGCUCCACAUGUGGCUGAUCAGUUUUACAAUUAAGACAAGGAGGUGAUGGACUUCUGUUUGGAGGUUGAGGAGGGGGCAACGGUAGUAGAGGUGGUGGAGAUGGUGCGGGAGUCACAGGACAGUAAGUUCCAAGUGUCCAAGUUCCUCGUAACGUACACCGUGGACUAGCUCAGCUCGGUCUAUGAAAUUCUUUACAAGUUCUAGUCGUGGGAGUAAGAUAACGUUUAUUAGCUCCGUUGUACCUAGGAACACGCCAAGGUAAGGUCGGAGGUGGCGGGAUAUGAAGACCCACACGUCCCGUAGGUUUGGUCUACGUAGGCGGCGGUGGCGACGGAGGUGGCGGCGGAGGUGGUGGACAGCGUGGAAAGGUAGGAGGACCUGGGGUACCUUUAAAAAGACCCGGGGGUCAUGGCGGGGUACCAUUAUUGAUAGUGGCAGGUGGUCGUGGUGGUGGAGGCUUAUUACGUAUGGUAAACGUCGGUGGUGGUGGUGGCGUAGGUGGUGGUGGCGUAGGUGGUCCAGGCUUAGUCAAGGGUAUAUACGGUGGACUUGUGGUUGUUUCUCGUGUUGGAACCUUAACAUUAGGAGGGAUAGGACUCCCUAUAGUCAUGUUACCUGUACUGUCUCCUGUGGGAGGUAUGCUAUCCUCUGUAGUGAAACUACUAUCUACCGUGGUGAAGCUGCUAUCUCCCGUUGCGAAACUACUACCUCCCGUAGUAAAGUUACGGCCUCCAGGAGUGAAACUGCUACCUCGUAUAGCGAUACUACUAUCUCCCGUAGUGAAGUUACUGUCUCCUGUUUACGUGGUACUUAGAUACCUAUCUCCUUCCAAAGGAGGUGUAAAACCUGGUCUAGGGGGCAUGGGACUGGUAAAACUUCGAAGUAGGAGGGUGGUACCCGCUGGUAGCCUGCCAGGUGGACCAGGUACGUGGCUGACCAGCUACGGCGGAUCCUCUAGGUUCAUAGGAGGACCGAGGUCUGUAAGUUACCUCGGAGGUUACAGGGUACUUCCUCCAACCUCCUCCGUGCCUUCUGUGUUAUUACUAUCUAAGGUAUCUACUUCCCGGCGUCUUCGAAACACAGAGCUGGUAUGACUCGGAGUAGACGCUAAUUGUCAUGUUACCAAAGGUCUGCUCCCUAUUAAGGACUGUUAAAAUUACCAAUAUCUAAAAUCAAAAGAAAGAAAAACGGAAACCACCCGGCACUUCCCCUAGAAGUAACAGAGGUAAGUCCCUGCCCGAAUCGUACUUUAGAGAAACGUUUUCUUCUCUACCUUGUCCGGGACCAACAUGUUUACAUACAGUGGUAAGAAGACGUUUACGUCUUUGCCUUCCCUGAAGUUACCACGCACCUCGACAAGACAUUGUUAGAUCAAUCGGAAUGUCAGAUGACACAACAACUCUUUAAGAAGUGAUAACUAAAGGUAAGUUUAUAGGGAAAACAUUAGGUUGACAGUAAAGUUCGUGGAAUGACUUUGACAGACUGUAACAUAUACCGGUGUUAGAUCUUACAAGAAAAAACGCCCACAGACUGACAUACAC